UACGUAGGUGGCAAGCGUUGUCCGGAUUUAUUGGGUUUAAAGGGUGCGUAGGCGGCCCUGUAAGUCAGUGCUGAAAUAUCCCAGCUUAACUGGGAGGGUGGCAUUGAUACUGCGGGGCUAGAGUACAGAUGAGGUAGGCGGAAUUGACGGUGUAGCGGUGAAAUGCGCAGAUAUCAGGAGGAACACCGGUGGCGAAGGCGGAUCUCUGGGCCAUUACUGACGCUGAGGAGCGAAAGCGUGGGGAGCGAACAGG
rnacentral:rRNA from 1 species